GUCUAUGGCCAUACCACCCUGAACAUGCCCGAUCUCGUCUGAUCUUGGAAGCUAAGCAGGGUCGGGCCUGGUUAGUACUUGGAUGGGAGAAUAUGGGUUUUGGCAUCAGAAAAUUUUAGGUUUCGGUCC
rfam:Pongo abelii chromosome 16.